UGACGUCAAGUCCUCAUGGCCUUAUGACCAGGGCUACACACGUACUACAAUGGCCGAUACAAAGGGCAGCGACACUGCGAGGUGAAGCCAAUCCCGUAAAAUCGGUCUCAGUCCGGAUUGGAGUCUGCAACUCGACUCCAUGAAGUUGGAAUCGCUAGUAAUCGUGGAUCAGCAUGCCACGGUGAAUACGUUCCCGGGCCUU
rnacentral:rRNA from 1 species